GGCCAAUUGAAAGCCAUAGUGACAGUAACCCUGAUUCAGGGGCGGGAAACACUGACCACAGAAGACAAGUUGAGGUGGUCAGUAUUCUGCCUCAUUUAUAAUACUGCCGAAGUUAUGUCUCACUGCUACAGAGAUGAACAUUCACCCUGGGAAAAAAGCCAACUGCUGUGUUCGGACACUUAAAGCCUAUGGACAGGCCUAUGUGUUGAGGAACUGAGAUAUCCAGCCAACAGCCAGCAAGGAACUGAGGUCUGACAACAACCUCAUGAGAGAGAUUGGAAGCAGAUCCUGCAGCCCCAGUCAAGCCUUUCAGUUGCUGACACCUUGACAGCAACCUCAUGAGAGACGCUGAGCCACGUGAUGAGGCUAAGCUGCGCCCAGACUUCUGUCUCAUAACAGCUAUGAGAUAAUAAAUGUUUGUUUUAAGCCACUAUUUCGGGAGGUAAUUUGUUACAGAUAAUUAGAUAACUUCACUUGUCUCUCGGUAACCAUGGGAGAUUGGUUCCGGGACCCCCUGCAGAUACCAAACUCCAUGAAUACUCAAGACUCUUAUAUAAAAUGGUGUAGUAUUUGCAUAUAACCUACACACAUCCUUCUGUAUACUUUAAAUCACUUCUAGAUUACUUAUAAUAC
rnacentral:lncRNA from 10 species